rnacentral:rRNA from 1 species
UAUGUGAUCGUCUCUCGCAUAUCAAUAAGCGGAGGAAAAGAAACUAACAAGGAUUCCCCUAGUAACGGCGAGUGAAGCGGGAAGAGCUCAAAUUUGAAAUCUUAAAGGGUUUCCCUUUACGAAUUGUAGUUUAAAGAAGUGUUUUCUGUUGAGGUUUUGGUAAAAGUUCUUUGGAAUAGGACAUCAUAGAGGGUGAGAAUCCCGUAUUUGACCUUUACUUUCAACUUUGUGAUACACUUUCAAAGAGUCGGAUUGUUUGGGAAUGCAGUCCAAAAUGGGUGGUAAAUUUCAUCUAAAGCUAAAUAUUGGCGAGAGACCGAUAGCGAACAAGUACCGUGAGGGAAAGAUGAAAAGAACUUUGAAAAGGAGAGUUAAACAGUACGUGAAAUUGUCAAAAGGGAAGCGUUUGACACCAGUGUUGUUUUUCUGAAAAUCAAUUAAAGAACUGUUUAUGCUAAGUUGUUUAGACUUUAUCAGCUAACUGUUUAGUUUUGAGCUUUUCUUUAAUGCACUUUUCAGUUAACAAGUCAACAUCAAUUUCUUUUGCUGUAAAAAAGCUUGAGGAAGGUGGCUUGAGAUUCGUCUUAAGUGUUUAUAGCCUCUUGCCUAUGCAGUCGGAGAGAUUGAGGUCUGCAGCGUAGAUCCUUCGGGGCUAAAUGCAUUUGUGCUAAGUUAUAGCAUUUUAUAGACAACUUGUUGACUAUGAUUUGUCUUGUAGCUUACUCGCUUAUGUUAUUUUACCUACGCUUAGGAUGUUGAAGACUCUACAGAGAUA